GGCUGGGUGGCUGGCUGGGUGGGUGGGUGGCUGGGUGGGUGGCCUGCUGGCUGGGUGGCUGGCUGGGCCAAGUCGCCUUGUGGUGCCUCCCCGAGGACGCCCCGGUCACCUCGACGCGGCAGGGCCCAGGUGGUCAUCGUCCCCGUCAGAGACGAAGAGGGCCACGUGGCCACGGCGCAGGUGGGCGGGUCGCCCAGAAGGACCGAGGGGGGUGGAGGACCGUGUCUGGGAGGGUGCCUCCUAUGAGCAGCGCGGCUGUGCGGACAACAACGACAACAACAGCAGCGAUGCUGAUGAAGCCAUCCCUGCGUUUGUUUUGCACCUCGCCUCACCGAGCGUCACAAGCUUGAGCUUGGCCACGAUGGACGAGAUUUGGUUCUUCACUCUGGACGUGGGCGAGGAGGGAACGUCGCGAGGGGGCAUCGGGAACCGCGGAUACGACGACAACUCUUUCGGAAAGCCUGGUUGGCUGUCCAAGACGCGUAUCCCGGUCACCGCCCCCCCCUCCCCCGCGUCACGUGCUGCGGGGAUGUCGGGCACAGCUUGUGAGCUUCAUCAAAUACUGCCUGCCAUGUGAUCCACAACUGCGGGUGACUCCGGAUCAGGCGCUGGCUCACGGCUGGCUCCAGACAGAGGCAAACGCCACCACCCCCAGCUUGGCCACCACCACCAGCCACCACCACCACCCCCAGCCACUACCACCACCCCCAGCCACCACCACUACCAUCCCCAGCUUGGCCACUACCACCACCCCUAGCCACCACGCCCAGCCACCACCACCACCACGCCCAGCCACUACCACCACCCCCAGCCACCACAACCACCACCACCCCCAGCCACUACCACCACCCCCAGCCACCACCACCACCACGCCCACCCACUACCACCACCCCCAGCCACCACCACCACCCCCAGCUUGGCCACCACCAUCAUACGCUGAAUCACUCAUCAUACACUGACUCGCUCAUGCGCUGACUAACACAUCAUACACUCAAGCUACUACUGACUCACACAUCAUACACUGACUCAGACUCACUCAUCAUACACUCACUCACACUACCACUGACUCACUCGCACAUCAUACGCUGACUCGCUCAUGCGCUGACUAACACAUCAUACACUCAAGCUACUACUGACUCACUCACACAUACGCUGACUCGCACAUCAUACACUCACACUACCGCUGACUCACUCACACAUACACUCAAGCUACUACUGACUCACUCAAACAUCAUACGCUGACUCGCACAUCUUUCACUCAAGCUACUAAUGACUCGCUCAUCAUACACCGACUCAUCAUACGCUGACUCACUCAUCAUACACUCACGCUGCUGCUGACUCACUCACACAUCAUACAUUGACUCACUCACACAUCAUACACCGACUCAUCAUACGCUGACUAACACAUCAUACACUCACUCACACUGCCGCUGACUCACUCAAACAUCAUACGCUGACUCACUCAUCAUACGCUGACUCACUCAUCAUACACUCACGUUGCCGCUGACUAACUCACACAUCAUACAUUGACUCACUCAUACGCUGACUAACACAUCAUACACUCACUCACACAUCAUACACUCACUCACACAUCAUACACUGACUCACUCAUACGCUGACUCGCACGUCAUACACUCACUCACACUGCCGCUGACUCACUCACACAUUAUACACUGACUCUUACCAUACGCUGACUCGCUAAUGUGCUGACUAACACAUCAUACACUGAAGCUACUACUGACUCACAUCAUACACUGACUCAGACUCACUCAUCAUACACUCACUCACACUACCACCGACUCACUCGCACAUCAUACGCUGACUCGCUCAUGCGCUGACUAACGCAUCGUGUGCUGACUCACACAUCAUGCACUCAAGCUAUUACUGACUCACACAUACGCUGACUCACAUCAUACGCUGACUCGCACAUCAUACACUCACACUACCGCUGACUCACUCAAACAUACACUCAAGCUACUACUGACUCACUCAAACAUCAUACGCUGACUCACAUCUUUCACUUCAGCUACUGCUGACUCACUCAUCAUAUGCUGACUCACUCAUCAUACGCUGACUCACUCGUCAUACACUGACUCACUCAUCAUUCACUCACGCUGCCACUGACUCACUCACACAUCAUACACUGGGAGUGUCAUGCUGCCAGCUAUGGCUGCAAGUUCGGUCGUACAUGUUAUGUAUAUCGUUUAUUGUUAAAUUUUUAAUCACAGCUACUAUGAUUACUGUUGUUACAUUGUUUUUAUAGCUUUAUUUUGGUGAUUCGAAAACAUGGUUAAUCUAAAUUGUCUUAUGGUUGUUGUUGUUGGCUUGCACCACUGAUUUUUGUACACAGCGUUUUAAUACUUUUUUUUGGGGCAAUAUUUGCUGGUUUAUUCCAGGAUUCAAUCUUAAUUUUAGAACUUUCGUGAC